rnacentral:lncRNA from 1 species
UGGAGGUUCCCAGGCUAGGGGUUGAAUCAGAGCUGUAGCCACCGGCCUACACCAGAGCCACAGCAACUCCGGAUCCGAGCCAUGUCUGCAACCUACAACACAGCUCAUGGCAACACUGGAUCCUUAACCCACUGAACAAGGCCAGGGAUCGAACCCUGCAACCUCAUGGUUCCUAGUUGGAUUCAUUAACCACUGCACCACGACGGGAAUUCCCCGAUCCACUUUCUUUUUAUGAUUGUCUUUUUAUAUAGCACGUUGGUCUUGUUUCGUAUUUUCCUGAGAAUAUUUUAGUUUCCCUAACAUUAGUUAUACUCUUGGUGUGUUUCUGUUUCCUCUGACUUCUUCUGAUUGCUUUUCUUUCCUGUUGGAAUCUUUCCUCAAAUAUCUUGUUCCUCACUGUGCAGUUAUAUUUAAAAUGAAACAUUAAAAAGUUGUGAACUUUUGUGUACAAAUGUGGACUUGUCAGUGCACCUCAUCAUAUGAUGAAAGAAUGGCUGCCUGCUUUUGUUGGAGAUCCAUAGAUAUUUUUCUGGGAUGUCUGAUUUUCCAGAAAAUAAACUUUCAAACUCCUGACCCUUGGGAAGGGGGAGGGCAAGCUGGGGAAAGACUGGCUAUAAGCCUGGCUGCAGGAUUUUGGAGCUCAAACAGUGUACCAUUCAGCAAACAUAGUUGGGUUCCUCUUUUGUCAGUACCAUAACUUGCCUCUCCAUAUUUAUGUCCUGAAUUCUGAAGCCUCUCUUGUUCCCCUUUUUCCCAAGGGGAAAAACCUAUCUCCCAUCAGAAUAGGGAUGGUCACCUCACUGGAUGGGUUUAUGAAUCUCAGUUCUAACAGAACCCUGUACAGAUUUUCAAACAGUUCAUCAUUCUGUGAUACCUGGUGGCUGUUCAUUCCUGAGGCUCUUGAGCCCUCUCUGGGGACAUCAGUUGUCUACCUUACAAGAAUAUGAUUUUCUUCCUCUAAGUAAUUUACUGUGUACUCUUUUAUGCAUUCAGCCUUCACUAAUUGUGGUUUGAAAUUAUAGUUAUCUCCUAGUAUAAACAAAGAUUAUGUUUUUGCUUGUUUCCCCUCUUAUUUUGAGAUGAUUUUCAGGAGAAAAGAAAAGCAGAGAUAUUUUUACUUUGCUGCCUUGAGAGUAGAAGUUUCUUUUCUGUGGCUCCACUCUCCUGAUUUCCACCUGACCCUCCCCUAUCGCUACUGAGUAGUGCAUGCCUCAAGCCCUGCUAUCAUCAUCUCACAACAGCAUUCCAUCCAAAAGAUCUCAGUCAGGACUCUGGCCUUGCCUACCUCUCCACUUUCACUGAGCACCAUACUCGCCUUCAUUUAAGCUUCAGCCACCACUGAUAUUUUAGGGGUUUGAUUCCAGCAAACCCCUUACACAUGCUGGCAUUUGCAACUGAUGAAAAGUCACUGGUCGAGGAGACGGGAUUAAGAUGGCGGAAUAGAAGGACUGGAGCUCAACUUCUCUCCUAAAAAAAACAAAAUUCACAACUAAAGACUGAGCAAUCUCCACCCAAAUGGACUGGAAACCCAUACCCUACUCCAGAAGAAAAAGAGGAGGCCACAUCCACAGGUAGGAGGGGUGAUUUCGUGAUAUAAACAACCCCAUACCUCCCGGGUGGGAAGCUCCACAGACUGAAAACCAACUGGCUCACAGAGACUCACCUACAGGAGUGAGAGUUCUGAGCCCCACAUCAAACCCUCACAUGCUGGGAUCUGUCACUGGGAGAAAGAGCCCCUGGAGCAUCUGGCAUUGAAGGCCAGCGGGGCUUGUGCACAGGAGCUCCACAGGACUGGGGGAAAUGGAGACCCCAUUCUUAAGAGGCGCACACAGACUUUCACGUGCACUAGGUCCCAGGGCAGAGCAAGGUCUCCACAGAAACCUAGGUCAAACCUGACUGCAGUUCUUGGAGGACAUCAUGGGAAAUCAGGGUGAAUGUGAUUUGUUGUGAGGGAAGGACAUUGAAGGCAAAGUUCUCGGGAAUAUUCAGCAAUUGCCUUUCUCUGGAAGUGGCCAUUUUGGGAAAAUCUGGCCCCACCCGUCAGUCAGUGCUGAGAAGCCCCAGGCCAAACAACAAUCCAGGUGGGAUCACAGCCCCACCCCUCAGUAAACAGGCUACCUAAAGAGCCUCAGCACACAGCAGCCCCUAAUCCCAUCCAGAGACUAAGCCCCACCCACCAGAGGGAUUAGAAUCGGCUCCACCUACCAGUGGGCGGGCAUCAGCCCCUCCCAUCAGGAAGCCUACAGCAAGCCCCCAUACCGACUUCAGCCACAAGGGGUGCAGACACCAGAAGUAAGAGAGGCUACGGCUCUAUUAUCUAUAAAAAGGUCACCACACCAAAAACCUAUAAAAAUGGAAAGACAGAGAACUAUAAUUCAGAUGAGGGAGAAAGGAAAAACCCCAGAAAAUCAGCUAAGCAAUGAGGAGAUUCUCAGCCUCCAGGAAAAAGACUUUAGACUGUUGAUGCUGAAGAUGAUGCAAGGCAUUGGAAAUAAACUGGAGGCAAAGAUGGGUAACUUACAGGAAACACUGAGCAAAAAGAUACAAGAUAUAAAACUUAAACAAGAAGAGAUGCAAAAUACAAUAACUGAAAUAAAAAACUCACUAGAAGCAGCUAACAGCAGAAUACAGGAGGCAAGCCAGGACAUGGAAACAACCCAAAUGUCCAUCGACAGAUGAUUGGAUUCGGAAGAUGUGUAUAUACACAAUGGAAUACUAGUCAGCCAUAAAAAAGGAUGACAUAAUGCCAUUUGCAGCAACAUGGAUGGAACUAGAGACUCUCAUACUGAGUGAAAUGAAUCAGAAAGACAAAGACAAAUACCAUAUGAUACCACUUAUAACUGGAAUCUAAUAUCCAGCAUAAAUGAACAUCUCCACAGAAAAGCAAAUCAUGGACUUGGAAAAUAGACUUGUGGCUGCCCGAUGACGGGAGAAGGAGGGAGUGGGAGGGAUCGGGAGCUUGGGGUUAUCAGAUACAACUUAGAAUAGAUUUACAGUGAGAUCCUGCUGAGUAGCAUUGAGAACUAUGUGUAGAUACUCAUGUUGCAACAGAACAAAGGGUGGGGGAAAAAUGUAUACAUGUAAGAAUAACUUGAUCCCCAUGCUGUACGGCGGGAAAAAAAUAAAAUAAAAU